GAUUUUUGUCUUUUUGGAUCACGAACCCCAGGGGCUGUGGGGAAGUGAGGAAGAGGGGUUAAGCACCCUAGUGGCGCCGCUCCUAGUUCGCCGCAGCCAUCCAGAGUCCAAUGUCCGAGCUAGGAGAGUCCC